rfam:Schistosoma rodhaini strain Burundi genome assembly, scaffold: SROB_scaffold0002697
AUUCAGCCGACCAGUCCCAAAUAGGAUGAGAUGCGCAUCCUGGAU